rnacentral:rRNA from 1 species
GAUGAACGCUAGCUACAGGCUUAACACAUGCAAGUCGAGGGGCAGCGGUAUCGAAAGCUUGCUUUCGGUAGCCGGCGACCGGCGCACGGGUGAGUAACGCGUAUCGAACCUGCCUCAUACUCGGGAAUAGCCUUGCGAAAGUAAGAUUAAUGCCCGGUGUUUUCAGAGUCCCGCAUGAGGCUUUGAACAAAGAUUUAUCGGUAUGAGAUGGCGAUGCGUCCCAUUAGCUUGUUGGCGGGGUAACGGCCCACCAAGGCAUCGAUGGGUAGGGGUUCUGAGAGGAAGGUCCCCCACAUGGGAACUGAGACACGGUCCAAACUCCUACGGGAGGCAGCAGUGAGGAAUAUUGGUCAAUGGGCGGAAGCCUGAACCAGCCAAGUAGCGUGCAGGAAGACGGCCCUCCGGGUUGUAAACUGCUUUUAGUUGGGAAUAAAACGGGGCUCGUGAGCCCCCUUGCAUGUACCAUCAGAAAAAGGGCCGGCUAAUUCCGUGCCAGCCGCCGCCGUAA